UAAAAUUGCUAUCGAGUAUGUAAUAAUUCCGUGACUGCCGCCAAAUUCCGUAAUGGCCGCUGACAGAAUACCGAUGAGAGCUCCAGUAAGGUUAUGUGCAUCAUACCUUGGUACCGCAAGAUCUGUUCAUAUAUUUGAGUAACAAUGCAGCUACAAAUGAUGAUAGUCAUCCUUUUCAUCGAGCAACACCAUGGAUUCCCCAUUAUUUGGAAGGACUAUCCACGUAACAAUGAAAACUACAACUGCUGCGCUUACCUGUGCUGAAUACCUAAAAUUGGAAACUAUGUAUAAAUUGAAAAACGACGAGCAACUGAAUCGUUCGUUGUACGUUCGCCGUUUGCUUCGAAAGAAAGGAGAAAGAAGAUGAAGAAGAGAAGGGUCGAAGAUAGGACCCCGAGGGAAGUGGAGGAGUGAGGAGGGUGAUAGUGGAAGUAGGAGAUGGAGAAGAAGAAGAAGAAGAAGAAUUGUAAAAUGAAAACGUUUGGUUUGUCCUACAGCCUGUUUUGUGUCAGUUUAAAUUUGAAACUAGAAAUGUUAAUAUUAUUAUUAUUGUUAAACAUAGAAGAAUUUGAUUAUUCAUUUUAUUAUUAUGAUAAAUAGAAAGUAUUUUAUUUAUAGUCUUAUCAAAUUGACAAGUAAUUUGAUAGAAG